rnacentral:rRNA from 1 species
AUACGGAGGGUGCAAGCGUUAAUCGGAAUUACUGGGCGUAAAGCGUACGUAGGCGGUCCGUUAAGUUAGAUGUGAAAGCCUCGGGCUUAACCUGGGAACUGCAUUUAAAACUGGCGGACUAGAGUUGAGUAGAGGGGAGUGGAAUUUCAGGUGUAGCGGUGAAAUGCGUAGAGAUCUGAAGGAACACCAGUGGUGAAGGCGACUCCCUGGACUCGAACUGACGCUGAGGUACGAAAGCGUGGGUAGCAAACGGGAUUAGAAACCCCAGUAGUCC